GGACGGACGGCUACCAACCAAACCGAAGGGUUUUCACGAGCAUCUGCAUGAUCUUGGUCCGUAUCGACGUCGCACGGGAGUCAAGGCACCGGACGGGAAUUAACAGCGACCGGUCGUGUCUCCAUGACCUUUUGAACCAUCACACCGUGUGAGCCAAGGCGCCAGACAAGAGUUAACAGAGACCGGACGCACGUCAACUCCACUGCAGGUAGAAGGAAACAAGGUAAUUAGGUUGUGUUAAAACAUAAUUAAGAUAAUUGGGCCAGAGAUUGGGCCAUGGUUAAGGAAUAGGUAAUCAAGGGCCCAUAACGAAUACUAUAAAUACAUGUCAAAGGUGAAAGGUGGUUGGUUACAUUGAAUGCUCAUUUAUUCCUACUUAUUACUUUCUCUUUCUAUUUUUGCCCUUUUUAAUCAAACUGACUUCAGCGUCGGAGUACCUGUAGCUAGGGAUGACAAAAAAAUCCGUGGGCACGGGUAUCCGCGGGUAAAACCCGCGGCGGGUAGUUACUACCCGCGGAUAUUUACUACCCGCGGGUAACGGGUAGCGGGUAUUUUAAUACCCGCUUCUAAACGGGUAGGGUACGGGUAGUAUACUAUCCGACCCGCGGGUACCCGCUACCCGCAAAAAGUAAAUAAAAAAAUUAAUUUAUAUAUUUUUUAAUUAAAAUUAAUUAAAAAUAAAAUAAAAUUAUAUUUUAUUAGAUUAAAAUUAAUUAAAACUAAAUUUUAAUUUAUAUUUAAUUUAAUUUAUAUUAUAUUAUAUAUAUAUAUAUAUAUAUAUAUAUAUAUUUGUUAUUUUAUUUAAAUUUUAUUUUAAAAAAUAUAAAACAUAUUUUUUUUUUAUUUUUUGCAAAUAUCCGCGGGUACCCGCAGGUACCCGCGGAUUUUUAAAAUACCCGCGGGUAUUUUUUAAGCGGGUACCCGGCGGGUAGCGGGUCGGGUGGCGGGUACACUUUUAUCCGGUGGGUCGGGUAGCGGGUAGACACUAUCCGUGCCCGACCCGACCCGUUGCCAUCCCUACCUGUAGCAGGUACCCGGCCGGCUUGAACAGGAGCGUACGAGACCGUGGUGAGAUAGCGGAG
rnacentral:lncRNA from 1 species